rnacentral:lncRNA from 1 species
UUGAAGCUAUUUUCCAUUUAAUUUCUAAAUGCCUACGAGGAAAUCGCAAUAGGCUUUUAGCAAAUUAAAUAGAAACUAGAAAGAAACCCAUGCUUCACAUGGGGCAGAGGGGUUGGUGAUGUCUAAAAUGGAAAUGUACUGUUAUGUUUUGUCUAACUCAGGUAUGUACUUUCAUAUGCACAAUUACAUAAUCAUUACACAUUUGCCUUAAAAAGGAGAAUGUGAUUAAUCUAAAAUCAAUUAAUGACCCAUUUGAUAUAAGUUGGUUUCUUUGAAAGACUGAUGUAUCUUUCUUCUCCGGGUCCAUAAAUAGCAGCCGCAUGAAUCACACAUGUGCAAAAAAAUCCCCUCUUUUUUCCUGUAAAAUAACAGCCAACAAAAAAUUUGGUAAACAAAUGUCAAAGGUGUUUUAAAAUUAAAGAUAAGGCAUUGUAACUCCAAAAUUUAUAGGUUCAUGUCUAUCAUGGUCACGCAUUAACAUCACUUUUUACCUUCCACCUAAAAAACCAACCAAAAGGCAUCUGAUUUAAACAAAAGAAAAAACAAAGAAAAAGGACCAAUCACAAGCCCUUUCUUCACAUCUUUUUCUUUCCUAUUUCUAAUCAGGCAGCGAGCCUCACCUGGUAAGUUGCUUAGAACAUCUUAGGGAGUGGAGUUGGCGUCCUUAGCGAGCUGGAGGCAAGCUUGGCCAACAAGCUACUCCCUCCAGCCUAAUAGUAAAAAUAUAUAUUACUAUUUCCUGCAAUUUGAAACAGAUACAAGUUGCUUAAUUUUUUUGUUAUAUGUACUUUUGACAUAUUAUACCCUAAAAGUAAGUGAAUCUUAAGUGUUAUGAAUUGAAAAGUUAAUACCUGUGGUUUUGGUUUUUAAGUCUGAUAAUUCUCUUUUUAGUAGCUGUUUGGAGGCUUUAACGCUUUUGCCUUUGUUUUUUCUUCUCCCGUUGACAUUCACCACACCGGCUAGUAAAUAUGUUUUCUCAUCUAUCUAAACACAAAACUAUAACAAAAAAAAUUAUAAAAAAAAAAACCUUUUCAAAUUCAAUAAAUUUACUUUAGUCCGAAAAUAAAACUGUCUGCAUCAAAUCAACAAAUUGACUUUAUUUCUAGUUGUAGUAGCUCUAGCUCCAUGCCGACCACAGUGAAUAAUCGCAUGCCCUGAAUAUUUAAAUAUCUCAUAUAAAUAUAAUUUUAAAAUAAAAUAAACAUUAUAAAAAUAUAAUAAAAAUAAUUAUUAUUUUGUUACCUCGGGUAAUGAUUCAGUAUGCAUAUGAUAAAUUGGCUGGACCAAGAAUAGAUUGUAACGAUAAUUUGCAGAAAUCAAGAAAAAAACAAAUAGAAAAAUGAAGACAAAGACGCAUGUGAUAAAAAAAAUAACAGUGGAUGCAAAAAUUCACUAAGAGAAACAUGUUAGAAUAAUUUAGAGAUAAAUCAUUUGAAACCUA